rnacentral:tRNA from 3 species
GGGUGAUUAGCUCAGUUGGUCAGAGUAUUACGUUGACAUCGUAAAGGUCAGUGGUUCGAACCCACUAUCACCCACCA